UACGUAGGGUGCGAGCGUUAAUCGGAAUUACUGGGCGUAAAGCGUGCGUAGGCGGUUGGACAAGCUUGAUGUGAAAGCCCCGGGCUUAACCUGGGAAUGGCAUUGAGGACUGUGUGGCUUGAGUGCGGCAGAGGGAGGUGGAAUUCCACGUGUAGCAGUGAAAUGCGUAGAGAUGUGGAGGAACACCGAUGGCGAAGGCAGCCUCCUGGGCCGACACUGACGCUGAGGGCACGAAAGCGUGGGGAGCAAACAGG
rnacentral:rRNA from 1 species